UGAAGAAUUUAUCCAACGGCGGGGGAUAGCCGGCCCAACGGCCGGGUAAUACCGCGUACGACCUUCCGGGGGCAUCCCCUGAUGGUGAAAGCCGCAAGGCGCCGAUGGAGAACUUCGCGGCCUAUCAGCUAGUUGGUGAGGUCAUGGCUCACCAAGGCGACGACGGGUAGCUGGUCCGAGAGGAUGACCAGCCACAUUGGGACUGAGACACGGCCCAGACCUCCGUACGGGGAGCAG
rnacentral:rRNA from 1 species